rnacentral:rRNA from 1 species
AUUCCAGCUCCAAGAGCGUAUAUUAAAGUUGUUGCAGUUAAAAAGCUCGUAGUUGGAUUUCUGACAUAAUGAGCUCUGUCCGCUAGGUUUUACCUAGUGAGUACUGAUGCGCGUUUGUCAUCCUUCUAGAAAACGUUUCUACCAUUUACUUGGUUGGACUCGCGAUCUAGAUCUUUUACUUUGAAAAAAUUAGAGUGUUUAAAGCAGGCUUUUUGCUAUGAAUACAUUAGCAUGGAAUAAUAAUCUAGGACUUCGGUUCUAUUUUGUUGGUUUCUAGAAUUGAAGUAAUGAUUGAUAGGGACAGUUGGGGGUGCUAGUAUUGGCCGGCCAGAGGUGAAAUUCUUGGAUUCGGUCAAGACUAACUUAUGCGAAAGCAUUCACCAAGGAUGUCUUCAUCA